GGCGGUAUAGCUCAGUUGGUUAGAGCGUGGGAAUCAUAAUCCUAAAGUCGCAAGUUCAAGUCUUGCUAUCGCUACCC
rnacentral:tRNA from 1 species